CCUACGGGAGGCAGCAGUGGGGAAUAUUGCACAAUGGGGGAAACCCUGAUGCAGCGACGCCGCGUGAAGGAAGAAGUAUUUCGGUAUGUAAACUUCUAUCAGCAGGGAAGAAAAUGACGGUACCUGACUAAGAAGCCCCGGCUAACUACGUGCCAGCAGCCGCGGUAAUACGUAGGGGGCAAGCGUUAUCCGGCAUUACUGGGUGUAAAGGGUGCGUAGGCUGUUUAUCAAGUACGAAGUGAAAGCCCGGGGCUCAACUCCGGGACUGCUUUUGAAACUGUUGAACUAGAGUGCAGGAGAGGUAAGUGGAAUUCCUAGUGUAGCGGUGAAAUGCGUAGAUAUUAGGAGGAACACCAGUGGCGAAGGCGGCUUACUGGACUGUAACUGACGCUGAGGCUCGAAAGCGUGGGGAGCAAACAGGAUUAGAUACCCGGGUAGUC
rnacentral:rRNA from 1 species